rnacentral:lncRNA from 1 species
UACCGCAGCCUGGUCAUCGGCCUGCAGUAUGGAGGGCUGCCUGCUGUCAACUCUCUCUACUCCGUCUACAACUUCUGCAGCAAGCCCUGGGUGUUCUCUCAGCUCAUUAAGAUCUUCCAUUCCCUGGGUCCUGAGAAGUUCCCGCUUGUGGAGCAAACAUUUUUCCCCAACCAUAAGCCAAUGGUGAGUGCCCUUUUUUACUCUGUUUCUUUGCAUGAUGCGGAAUGAAUACAGAUGACUUGUCCUCGGUCUCUUUGGAUGGAGGAGGUGGACUCUAGGGGUUGUACACUGACCACGCAGACUCUAAGGCGGAGUCACAGUGUCCUGUGGGAGUGCCUGGAUUUCCUAAGGGAAGUCGUCUCUCCAGGUGAAAUUCAGGCAAUAGGGCAAAUAACAAAGGUGAACCACAUUCCUUGGAACUUGGAGAUUUUCAGCAAAUCAGGGGACACGUUCUGGGGGCAUGUUAGAACCAGAGGCUGAUUAUAAAGGUAAAAGAUGUUUUCAAGGUGGGAUGUUGUUUUAC